CCUCAGAUGGUGGAUGCGGGGACUCAAACCGAAAGGUUUGAGAUACGAAGAUCGAGUCCACUGGCCAGUCCUGAACAAAGUGAUGAUGAAUGGUCAUUUUCUGAUAUAAACCAUUCUGGUGAUAUGUUAUAUUCCAGAGGAAGACAUGUUGAGCGAGUCCUCUGAGGAGGAACCAGAAGAGCUGGAAUCUCUCAGCGACCCAAAUGCUGUUGACAAGUUCAUUGUUUGCCAGAGGCAAUUGCUGUCUUUGUUCACUGUUUGCCCUGCAUGCUGUGGGGAAACCCAGGGACACAUAAUGCACCCGGAAGGAAUCUUCAUAAAAGUCAAGCAGGCCUGCAGAACUUGUGGAUAUGAGCUUUACUGGCAAAACCAAGAGAAGGUGUAUCGAAACAUGCCUGUCUGCAACCUUUUACUCAGCGAUGCCAUCCACUUCUCAGGUUGCAUGGCUAAUCAGACCAUCAGGAUGCUUUAGCUGUUUGGACUGCAGUGCAUAAGUCCCGGCACUUUUUUCCGUCAUCAGCGCUAUCACACUAUCCCUACCAUCAUGCAGGGCUGGAGGAAUGAGCAGAGGGGGAUCAUCAGGGAGUUAAAGGAGACUGGGGGUGGAUUGAUCCUGUCUGGAGACUGCAGGUAGUAGGAUCCAGCUCCUGUUACUGACGUAGAACAGGUUAAUGUGUUGUUGCAUAACCUCUACAUUUGCAUUAACCUCUAACCUCUGUUUUUGACGUUCUUAGAUCAGAAUCUGUU